rnacentral:rRNA from 1 species
CCUACGGGUGGCAGCAGUAGGGAAUAUUGCUCAAUGGGGGAAACCCUGAAGCAGCAACGCCGCGUGGAGGAUGAAGGUUUUCGGAUUGUAAACCCCUUUUGUUAGAGAAGAUAAUGAAGGUAACUAACGAAUAAGCACCGGCUAACUCCGUGCCAGCAGCCGCGGUAAUACGGAGGGUGCAAGCGUUACUCGGAAUUACUGGGCGUAAAGAGCGCGUAGGCGGGCGAGCAAGUCAGAUGUGAAAGCCUAUGGAUUAACCAUCGAACUGCAUUGGAAACUGUUAUGCUAGAGUAUGGGAGAGGUAGGUGGAAUUCUUGGUGUAGCGGUAAAAUCCGUAGAGAUCAAGAGGAAUACUCAUGGCGAAGGCGACCUGCUAGAACAUAACUGACGCUGAGGCGCGAAAGCGUGGGGAGCAAACAGGAUUAGAUACCCUUGUAGUC